rnacentral:rRNA from 1 species
CGGACAGAUGGGAGCUUGCUCCCUGAUGUUAGCGGCGGACGGGUGAGUAACACGUGGGUAACCUGCCUGUAAGACUGGGAUAACUCCGGGAAACCGGGGCUAAUACCGGAUGGUUGUUUGAACCGCAUGGUUCAAACAUAAAAGGUGGCUUCGGCUACCACUUACAGAUGGACCCGCGGCGCAUUAGCUAGUUGGUGAGGUAACGGCUCACCAAGGCAACGAUGCGUAGCCGACCUGAGAGGGUGAUCGGCCACACUGGGACUGAGACACGGCCCAGACUCCUACGGGAGGCAGCAGUAGGGAAUCUUCCGCAAUGGACGAAAGUCUGACGGAGCAACGCCGCGUGAGUGAUGAAGGUUUUCGGAUCGUAAAGCUCUGUUGUUAGGGAAGAACAAGUACCGUUCGAAUAGGGCGGUACCUUGACGGUACCUAACCAGAAAGCCACGGCUAACUACGUGCCAGCAGCCGCGGUAAUACGUAGGUGGCAAGCGUUGUCCGGAAUUAUUGGGCGUAAAGGGCUCGCAGGCGGUUUCUUAAGUCUGAUGUGAAAGCCCCCGGCUCAACCGGGGAGGGUCAUUGGAAACUGGGGAACUUGAGUGCAGAAGAGGAGAGUGGAAUUCCACGUGUAGCGGUGAAAUGCGUAGAGAUGUGGAGGAACACCAGUGGCGAAGGCGACUCUCUGGUCUGUAACUGACGCUGAGGAGCGAAAGCGUGGGGAGCGAACAGGAUUAGAUACCCUGGUAGUCCACGC